GGAGAGGUGGCUGAGUGGUCGAAAGCACCGGUUUGCUAAAUCGGCGUGGGUCGAAAGAUUCACCGCGGGUUCAAAUCCCGCCCUCUCCG
rnacentral:tRNA from 1 species